UUAACGCAAAUUUGUAUGGAGUCGGAACGUUUGCUUACGUUUGCCGCUAGGGGCGCUGUUACAACUCCAUACAAAUUUGAGUUA
rfam:Bombyx mori DNA, contig: Bm_scaf15_contig11773, strain: p50T/Dazao, build 2, whole genome shotgun sequence.